rnacentral:misc_RNA from 1 species
GGUGUCACACCCUUUAAAAAGGUUUGUGAAAGAUUAAUGGAUUCAAGUUUCUUGUAUUUGUGUGUGUUCCAUCAGAGUUUCUUACCAAGUUUAGGUCACUUGGAGAGUAUAAAGACCAUUUUAUUCACUAAUUCAAUUAAGUGUAAAUACUGAAAUAUCACUUUUGUAUGAAGAACAUUAUAAUGGAAGAAAAUGAAAAUCCGUGUAGAUCUUGUUGAUUCCAUGAAUUGAAAAUGAGUACCAUGUAGACUACUAGACUUUAUACUGUUUAUCCUAAACAAAUUUAACAUUGGUUUCUGCUUACAGGUUGUCAGC